GCAGUCGUGGUCGAGUGGUUAAGGCGAUGGACUACAAAUCCAUUGGGCUCUCCUAGCAGUUUCGACUCCUGUCGACUGCG
rfam:Ixodes scapularis strain Wikel colony gcontig_1108379264872, whole genome shotgun sequence.